rnacentral:rRNA from 1 species
GAUGAACGCUGGUGGCGUGCCUAAUACAUGCAAGUCGAGCGAACGGACGAGAAGCUUGCUUCUCUGAUGUUAGCGGCGGACGGGUGAGUAACACGUGGAUAACCUACCUAUAAGACUGGGAUAACUUCGGGAAACCGGAGCUAAUACCGGAUAAUAUUUUGAACCGCAUGGUUCAAAAGUGGGAGACGGUCUUGCUGUCACUUAUAGAUGGAUCCGCGCUGCAUUAGCUAGUUGGUAAGGUAACGGCUUACCAAGGCAACGAUGCAUAGCCGACCUGAGAGGGUGAUCGGCCACACUGGAACUGAGACACGGUCCAGACUCCUACGGGAGGCAGCAGUAGGGAAUCUUCCGCAAUGGGCGAAAGCCUGACGGAGCAACGCCGCGUGAGUGAUGAAGGUCUUCGGAUCGUAAAACUCUGUUAUUAGGGAAGAACAUAUGUGUAAGUAACUGUGCACAUCUUGACGGUACCUAAUCAGAAAGCCACGGCUAACUACGUGCCAGCAGCCGCGGUAAUACGUAGGUGGCAAGCGUUAUCCGGAAUUAUUGGGCGUAAAGCGCGCGUAGGCGGUUUUUUAAGUCUGAUGUGAAAGCCCACGGCUCAACCGUGGAGGGUCAUUGGAAACUGGAAAACUUGAGUGCAGAAGAGGAAAGUGGAAUUCCAUGUGUAGCGGUGAAAUGCGCAGAGAUAUGGAGGAACACCAGUGGCGAAGGCGACUUUCUGGUCUGUAACUGACGCUGAUGUGCGAAAGCGUGGGGAUCAAACAGGAUUAGAUACCCUGGUAGUCCACGCCGUAAACGAUGAGUGCUAAGUGUUAGGGGGUUUCCGCCCCUUAGUGCUGCAGCUAACGCAUUAAGCACUCCGCCUGGGGAGUACGACCGCAAGGUUGAAACUCAAAGGAAUUGACGGGGACCCGCACAAGCGGUGGAGCAUGUGGUUUAAUUCGAAGCAACGCGAAGAACCUUACCAAAUCUUGACAUCCUUUGACAACUCUAGAGAUAGAGCCUUCCCCUUCGGGGGACAAAGUGACAGGUGGUGCAUGGUUGUCGUCAGCUCGUGUCGUGAGAUGUUGGGCUAAGUCCCGCAACGAGCGCAACCCUUAAGCUUAGUUGCCAUCAUUAAGUUGGGCACUCUAAGUUGACUGCCGGUGACAAACCGGAGGAAGGUGGGGAUGACGUCAAAUCAUCAUGCCCCUUAUGAUUUGGGCUACACACGUGCUACAAUGGACAAUACAAAGGGCAGCGAAACCGCGAGGUCAAGCAAAUCCCAUAAAGUUGUUCUCAGUUCGGAUUGUAGUCUGCAACUCGACUACAUGAAGCUGGAAUCGCUAGUAAUCGUAGAUCAGCAUGCUACGGUGAAUACGUUCCCGGGUCU